rnacentral:rRNA from 1 species
UAAAACGGAAGUGGCAAGCGUUGUCCGGAAUCACUGGGCGUAAAGCGGACGUAGGCGGAUAACUAAGUUGAAUGUGAAAACCAACUGCUCAACGGUUGGCCUGCAUCCAAAACUGAUUAUCUUGAGUCUGGCAGAGGGGAGCGGAACUUCUGGUGUAGCGGUGGAAUGCGUAGAUAUCAGAAGGAACACCUACGGCGAAGGCAGUUCUCUGGGCCAAGACUGACGCUGAGGUCCGAAAGCUAGGGUAGCAAACGGGAUUAGAUACCCCGGUAGUCCUAGCCGUAAACGAUGGACACUUGACGUGGGCGAUUUUAGUCUGCGUCGGAGCUAACGUAUUAAGUGUCCCGCCUGGGGAGUACGUUCGCAAGGAUG